AUUGAACGCUGGCGGCAGGCCUAACACAUGCAAGUCGAGCGGAGCGGCGGACGGGUGAGUAAUGCCAAGGAAUCUGCCUGGUAGUGGGGGAGAACGUCCGGAACCGGGCGCUAAUACCGCAUACUAUCAGAUGAGCCUAGGUCGGAAUAGCUAGUUGGUGGGGUAAAGGCCUACCAAGGCGACGAUCCGUAACUGGUCUGAGAGGAUGAUCAGUCACACUGGAACGGAGACCCGGUCCAGACUCCUACGUGAGGCAACAGUGGGGAAUAUUGGACAAUUGGCGAGAGCCUGAUCCAGCCAUGCCGCGUGUGUGAAGAAGGUCUUCGGAUUGUAAAGCACUUUAAGUUGGGAGGCGUUACCAGCAGAAGAAGCACCGGCUAACUUCGUGCCAGCAGCCGCGGUAAUUC
rnacentral:rRNA from 1 species